rnacentral:rRNA from 1 species
AGUGAACGCUGGCGGUAGGCCUAACACAUGCAAGUCGAACGGCAGCACAGUAAGAGCUUGCUCUUACGGGUGGCGAGUGGCGGACGGGUGAGGAAUACAUCGGAAUCUACUUUUUCGUGGGGGAUAACGUAGGGAAACUUACGCUAAUACCGCAUACGACCUACGGGUGAAAGCAGGGGAUCUUCGGACCUUGCGCGAUUGAAUGAGCCGAUGUCGGAUUAGCUAGUUGGCGGGGUAAAGGCCCACCAAGGCGACGAUCCGUAGCUGGUCUGAGAGGAUGAUCAGCCACACUGGAACUGAGACACGGUCCAGACUCCUACGGGAGGCAGCAGUGGGGAAUAUUGGACAAAGGGCGCAAGCCUGAUCCAGCCAUACCGCGUGGGUGAAGGAGGCCUUCGGGUUGUAAAGCCCUUUUGUUGGGAAAGAAAAGCAGCAGGUUAAUACCCCGCUGCUCUGACGGUACCCAAAGAAUAAGCACCGGCUAACUUCGUG